rnacentral:rRNA from 1 species
UACAGAGGUCUCAAGCGUUGUUCGGAUUCAUUGGGCGUAAAGGGUGCGUAGGCGGCGCGGUAAGUCGGGGUGUGAAAUCUCGGAGCUUAACUCCGAAACUGCAUUCGAUACUGCCGUGCUUGAGGACUGGAGAGGAGACUGGAAUUUACGGUGUAGCGGUGAAAUGCGUAGAUAUCGUAAGGAAGACCAGUGGCGAAGGCGGGUCUCUGGACAGUUCCUGACGCUGAGGCACGAAGGUCAGGGGGAGCAAACGGG